AGGCUAAUACUAGGAUCCAAAAUAAUCAAGGACCACAAUAAGGAGCCCAGAUCAACUAAUUAAAUGUAAUUUACACUUUAAAGUCUGAAAAACAAAUAGACAACCAUAUCGGUACAUCUGAAGAUCAAGAUGAACCAUUGUCUAAACCAUCUCAUGAGCAAGUGAUCGAUCAGACCGAGUUUGAGGAUCCAGAUAAGUCUAAGGAGUCAAUAGAGAUUAACAAACCACCCAAGCUACUUGAAGAAUUCACAUU
rnacentral:lncRNA from 1 species